CAGCCGCCUCGGUAAUACCGGCGGCCCGAGUGGCGGUCACUAUUAUUGGGCUUAAAGCGUCCGUAGCCGGGUUGGGAAGUCCUCCGGGAAAUCUGGCCGCUUAACGGUCAGAAUGCCGGAGGAUACUCCCAGCCUAGGGAGCGGGAGAGGCCGAGGGUAUUCCCGGAGUAGGGGUGAAAUCCUAUAAUCCCGGGAGGACCACCUGUGGGGAAGGCGCUCGGCUGGAACGCGUCCGACGGUGAGGGACGAAGGCCAGGGGAGCAAACCGGAUUAGAUACCCGGGUAGUCCUGGCUGUAAACGAUGCGGACUUUGUGUCGGACAAGCUAUGAGCUUGUCCGGUGCCGGAGGGAAACCGUUAAGUCCGCCGCCUGGGGAGUACGGCCGCAAGGCUGAAACUUAAAGGAAUUGGCGGG
rnacentral:rRNA from 1 species